CACAUCAUCACCACAGGAGGAUUGUCUCAUGACCGUGGAGUCCUUGCAUUUAUAUAAAAAAAAUAGUCAUGAUAACUAGGAAAGGCUGUCUCUUCAGGCAUUCAACCCAGUCUGGCUAGGUGGGUAAUACUCACCCUUUCUCUCCUCCUUCCUCCUCUGUCUCCUCCCCUUCCCCUCUCUCCUCCACUCUCUUUCCCUUUCCCCAGGGUUUUACCAUGAUAGGCAAGCACCCACAGAACUAUACCUCUGCCCUCAUCCUUUUCUGUUUUGUUUUCAGACAGGUUUCACACUGUAGUCUAAGCUGGGCUUGAACUUGUGAUUCUCCUGCCUCAGCCUCCUGAGUGCUGGUAUUACAAGUAUGUACCACUAUAUCUGGUAGCUCCCCCUCUUUCUAGCAUUUGCUUCUCCCCCACCCCGUGUAUGUGUGCGACAUGAUGCCAUGAUGUGCUUGUGGAGGUCAGCUCUCUCUCUCCCUUCUUCCACUAUGUGGAUCCUUGGGAAUUGAACCAAGGUCGUCAAGCUUGGCAGUUCAGAUGUAAGUGCACUUAUCGCCUGAGCUAUCUCAUCAGCUCCCCUAUCCCUGCCAGAGAUAGAGGCUCCUGAUGUUGGCCUAUGAAAUCUUGGGGAUCAAGCCAUCCUUCCAUUUGAGCUCUGGAGUUGAUGGGCCUACCCCAGUAGGCCCCAUGCCACCAUGCCCGGCUGGUACUCAUCCAUCUCCACUUUACAAAUGAGGAGCUGAGACUCAGACAACACAGCAAGCCCAAGAUCACAGGGCCUAAAAGUGGCGGAGGUUCUCAGAUCUGAAUUGGAUAGGUCAAAGGCUACCGCACACGGACUGGGGUGAGGCUCCUCUGGUAACAUGCCUGCUGCUCAAACAUAGAAAUCUGAGUCUGAGUCCCAAGAAAUUCCCUGCCCAGUCAUCCUGUCCAAAUCAGUGCGCUCCAAGUUCAGUGGGGACCCUGUCUCAAAGAAUGAAGUGGAAAGCGACAGAGGAAUACAACCAGCAUCUAACUGUGACCAUCACACAGCUUCUCUCCUUAAUGCCUUGCCUCAAAAGGCUAGACCUGGCUGGCAUCUGCUUGAAGGGCACAGAGUCUCUCUGCAGUCAUCUCCUGUAGCUGGAAAUCAUACAGAACAAAUUGCAGAGUGCCUGGAAUAAAUAUGUGAGCAUUUCCAGGCUGUGGUGACUCUGAUGGUUAAUCUGGGUGCCUUGCUGCAGGGCAG
rnacentral:lncRNA from 1 species